GGUAUAUAUAUCUGCCAAUUAAAUAAAAUAUGAGAACACCAGAUAAUAUAUCCCUACGGAUCUAUACUAGGAUUUGCAUGAUCAUUUAUUCAAGCUCCAUACCGAUGGUUCAUUCACUGCAAAAUUUUGAAUUAUAUCAAAGAACAUUGAUCUUUUCUCCAACUUUUAAUACCAAUCAAGCACAGGCAAUAUGCAUCGCUUGGGGUACUCUUUAAUAGUAAAUUCGAACACAAGUGAUGCAUAUUGCCUGUGCAAUCAAGGUACUUUGCAUGUACAUGUACAUCAGAUAUGUACAUUUCCACUCAAACCACUUAUAUACAAGAAUGGAACCAGCUGAACAUGAGCCAGGUUAUAUAUUAUGUAUUUGCUCUCCUACCCCUUUGAUUCAGUACUGUGUAAGGAAAUAUACUAUUGAGUAUAUAUAUAUUUUAAAAAGAAUAACAAAGAACAACAAUUUUCAUUCAUAUUUCAUUCAACAUAUAUAUACACAGGUUGAUAACAAUGGCUGAUCUGCAUAUAAUGACUGCUAGUUAUUGGCUGGUAUGCAGUGAAAGGGAGCUAAAAAGGAGUAAAAAGUUCAUAUCAGCCAGGUAGUGUGGCUUAAAUAAACCAGUGUUAAGGAAUAUCCAGUAAUGGCAUGACAUCAUGAGAGUUUGGCAUACCGACAUUCAGAUGAUUAAUGAUGAAACUGAAGACCUCAAGUGAAAGGCAUGGAAAAUGAUCCUGUUCCCAUAUACCUGAAAAAGAGGAGGGAUGCCACAAUAUUGAUAAUAGACUUUUGUCAAUUUGAGAAGCAAAGAUGUAAAAAAAAAAAAAAAAUAAUAAUAAUAAUAAUAAUGCUGAAAUUAUAAUUCAUGUAUUUGUUAAAAAUACUGUUCACUGUACAUACAUGUAUAUUUUUUUUAAACUUAUUUGGAAAUACAUGAAGUAAUUCAUAUUAAAACUGUGAAUGUAUGA